GGCAAGAUGUUUGAAAAUAAAAAAUUACUUGUCUAUAUUUUGACUUUCACAAAAGUUUGCAGCAUUGGUUAAUUAAGAGAAGUUUUACAAUCAAUGCAGAUAGAUUCACUUGGUAUCUGCUUUAAGUUGUCAUAAAACUCACUUAGACUGGAUCAUGGCACAAGUUCACAAUUGAACCAGGUAGUCUGACAACAGUGGGUUAAUCUAACUGGCCAAACAAUUAGUUUAAGCUCACAUGGAGAAUAUGUUUAGAUUGGAUAGAAGCUAAGUGAU
rnacentral:misc_RNA from 1 species